GGAGUGGGCCGGGCGAUCGCUGGUUUUCAACCUCGGUUGGGAGCGGGAGGAAAGUCCGAGCUCCACAGGGCAGGGUGCUGGCUAACGGCCAGGCGAGGCAACUCGACGGAUAGUGCCACAGAGAGCAGACGGCCAUCCGUAGCGUCUUUUGGGACGUGAGGUGGUCAAGGUGAAAAGGUGCGGUAAGAGCGCACCGCGGUCGUGGCGACACUGACCGGCAUGGAAAACCCCACCCGGAGCAAUGCCAAAUAGGAGCCCCGGCGAGGCUUGCCUCGCGUCAACGGCCCGUUGAUUGGGGCUCGGGUAGGCAGCUCGAGUGUGCGGGCAACCGUAUGCCUAGAUGAAUGAUCGUCACCAGCUUCGCUGGGACAGAACUCGGCUUACAGGCCCACUCCGAUG
rnacentral:RNase_P_RNA from 3 species